GACGAACGCUGGCGGCGUGCCUAAUACAUGCAAGUUGAGCGCUGAAGGUUGGUACUUGUACCAACUGGAUGAGCAGCGAACGGGUGAGUAACGCGUGGGGAAUCUGCCUUUGAGCGGGGGACAACAUUUGGAAACGAAUGCUAAUACCGCAUAAAAACUUUAAACACAAGUUUUAAGUUUGAAAGAUGCAAUUGCACCACUCAAGGAUGAUCCCGCGUUGUAUUAGCUAGUUGGUGAGGUAAAGGCUCACCAAAGCGAAGAUACAUAGCCGACCUGAGAGGGGGGUCCGCCACAAUGGGACUUAGACACGGCCCAAACUCCCACGGGAGGCAGCAGUAGGGAAUCUUCGGCAAUGGACGAAAGUCUGACCGAGCAACGCCGCGUGAGUGAAGAAGGUUCUCGGAUCGUAAAACUCUGUUGGUAGGGAAGAACGUUGGUGAGAGUGGAAAGCUCAUCAAGUGACGGUAACUACCCAGAAAGGGACGGCUAACUACGUG
rnacentral:rRNA from 1 species